rnacentral:rRNA from 1 species
UACGAAGGGGGCUAGCGUUGCUCGGAAUCACUGGGCGUAAAGGGUGCGUAGGCGGGUUUUUAAGUCAGGGGUGAAAUCCUGGAGCUCAACUCCAGAACUGCCUUUGAUACUGGAAGUCUUGAGUAUGGGAGAGGUGAGUGGAACUGCGAGUGUAGAGGUGAAAUUCGUAGAUAUUCGCAAGAACACCAGUGGCGAAGGCGGCUCACUGGCCCAUUACUGACGCUGAGGCACGAAAGCGUGGGGAGCAAACAGG